rnacentral:rRNA from 1 species
AACGAACGCUGGCGGCAUGCCUAACACAUGCAAGUCGAACGGGUGUAGCAAUACAUCAGUGGCGCACGGGAUAGUAACGCGUGGGAAUCUGCCUCGUAGUUCGGAAUAACACCGGGAAACUGGUGCUAAUACCGAAUACGCCCUUCGGGGGAAAGUUUUUCGCUAUGAGAGGAGCCCGCGUUGGCUUAGCUAGUUGGUGAGGUAACGGCUCACCAAGGCGACGAUCCAUAGCUGGUCUGAGAGGACGAUCAGCAUCGCUGGGACUGAGACACGGCCCAGACUCCUACGGGAGGCAGCAGUGGGGAAUAUUGGACAAUGGGGGAAACCCUGAUCCAGCAAUGCCGCGUGAGUGAUGAAGGUCUUCGGAUUGUAAAGCUCUUUUGGCAGGGACGAUGAUGACGGUACCUGCAGAAUAAGCUCCGGCUAACUUCGUGCCAGCAGCCGCAGUAAUAC